rnacentral:rRNA from 1 species
GUGCCAGCCGCCGCGGUAAUACGUAGGUGGCAAGCGUUAUCCGGAAUUAUUGGGCGUAAAGCGCGCGCAGGUGGUUUCUUAAGUCUGAUGUGAAAGCCCACGGCUCAACCGUGGAGGGUCAUUGGAAACUGGGAGACUUGAGUGCAGAAGAGGAAAGUGGAACUCCAUGUGUAGCGGUGAAAUGCGUAGGUAUAUGGAGGAACACCAGUGGAGAAGGCGACUUUCUGGUCGGUAAAGGACACUGAGGCGCGAA